rnacentral:rRNA from 1 species
UUGGAGGGCAAGUCUGGUGCCAGCAGCCGCGGUAAUUCCAGCUCCAAUAGCGUAUAUUAAAGUUGUUGUGGUUAAAAAGCUCGUAGUAGAAGCUCGGGCUCCGGCCGACCGGUCCGCCUCACCGCGUGCACUGGUUCGGCCGGGCCUUCACCUUCUGCGGAACCGCAUCCCCUUCACUGGGGGUGCCGGGGAAACAGGACGUUUACUUUGAAAAAAUUAGAGUGCUCCAGGCAGGCCUAUGCUCGAAUACAUUAGCAUGGAAUAAUGAAAUAGGACGUGCGGUCUUAUUUCGUUGGUUUCUAAGACCGCCGUAAUGAUUAAUAGGGACAGUCGGGGGCAUCAGUAUUCAAUCGUCAGAGGUGAAAUUCUUGGAUCGAUUGAAGACUAACUACUGCGAAAGCAUUUGCCAAGGAUGCUUUCAUUUAUCAGGAACGAAAGUUAGGGGAUCGAAGACGAUCAGAUACCGUCGUAGUCUUAACCAUAAACUAUGCCGACUAGGGAUCGGACGGUGUUAUUUCUUGACCCGUUCGGCGCCUUACGAA